rnacentral:rRNA from 1 species
GACGAACGCUGGCGGCGUGCUUAACACAUGCAAGUCGAACGGAGUGGCGAACGGGUGAGUAACACGUGGGUGACCUGCCCUGCAAUUCGGGAUAAGCCUGGGAAACUGGGUCUAAUACCGGAUAGUGUGGGAUGGGCCCGCGUCCUAUCAGCUUGUUGGGGGGGUAAUGGCCUACCAAGGCGGCGGCGGGUAGCCGACCUGAGAGGGUGGACAGCCUCCUUGGUGCUAAGAGACGGACCAGACUGCUACAGGGGGCAGCGGGGGGGAAUAGUGCGCAAUGGGCGGGAGCCUGAUGAAGCGGCGCUGCGUGUGGAAUGACGGCCUUCCGGUUGGAAACUCCUUUCACCAUCGACGCGGUAGAUGGAGAAGAAGCACCGGCUAACUACGUGCCAGCAGCCGCGGUAAUUC